rnacentral:lncRNA from 1 species
AUGAGUAGUUGGGCAACUCCACUCUCCCUUCAGAUGGAUAACAGUAGGAAGAAACCUCUGGAAGAGGAAGAGCAUUUCCCUUGCAGAUCCUGUCAUUCCUUCUUCUGUCUUUUCUACUUGCAGCUUCAGCAGUCCUAUAGGUCUGUCACCACAGGAGACGGAGUGGAGAAAUGCUGUGAGAUGGUCUUUUCUUUCAAGUAAAGUUGACAGAAAGUUGGAGAAAUGAUGUGUUAUUCCAAACCUGCAUUGGAAAUUAAAGGACAGAAGAUUCUUCCUCUUUUGUUUCAAUAUCCACAACAGCAAUCUUUCUUAUUUUGAGGCCCACUUUCACAUUGCCCUGUGCUGACCUGAUUAAAGGAGACAUUAUUAUUUGUUUACUUUGAUCUGUUUGUGUUAUCUCUGACUUGAUCAAGUACUUUCAGUGAUAUCCUCCUUCUGUCAGAACAUUUUGAUGAUCACAGACCUCAUUUCCUGCCAGAAAUCAUAUGAACUCUUAUUCUUUGCAGCUUUAUUUGUGCUAUACACAAUAUGAUUUGCUGUGGCAAGCUGAGUGUAUCUGUGGUUAUCAGAUGGCUUUGCCUGAACUGAAGUAAUAGAUAACAGCCCUCCAAACAGCUGCUGCAGUACAUGUAGCACAUGUCCUGAAAUCCCAUAGGUUCAGAAAAUGGUAGUAAAAAGUACACACUUAGGUAUAUAUUCUAUAACUGUCCUAAUUGUGCAUUCAAUGGAUGUAUGCCUGCAUGUGUUAAUGUCCAUCUAUCAAUGAGUUGUUCCAGGGCUUGCUUCCAAAUUUCAUCAUUACUGAGGCAUCACUAAGAGUAUGGGAUAAUGGGAUAUUUCCCUGCAAUGCUGCGCACAGGUACUGACAGCACUGGUAUGCUGCAAGAUUAUACAACACACAGAAGAUUCAGUGUGGAAGCUGAUGGCAUAGCUAAAACCAGCAUUUCUGCUUUUUGCACUGUGGUAAAAUGGGGUUUGAGUUACAGUAGUUUUUGGAAGUGGGUUUGGUUUUGUUUGGUUAGUUAAAAAAUUAAAAAAU